UACAGAGGUCUCAAGCGUUGUUCGGAUUCAUUGGGCGUAAAGGGUGCGUAGGCGGUGCGGUAAGUCGGAUGUGAAAUCUCGGGGCUUAACUCCGAAACUGCAUUCGAUACUACCGUGCUUGAGGACUGGAGAGGAGGCUGGAAUUUACGGUGUAGCGGUGAAAUGCGUAGAUAUCGUAAGGAAGACCAGUGGCGAAGGCGGGUCUCUGGACAGUUCCUGACGCUGAGGCACGAAAGCCAGGGGAGCAAACGGG
rnacentral:rRNA from 1 species